UCAGAAUGAAACCUAUUUAGAACAGAUGUUAGUAUUUUUAAAAAAAAGUCACGUGAAAUGAGCAGAUGUUCAGAGUGUGCAGAGGCUCGCCGAGCAGCGCAUAGCUCUGCAGAGAGAGCUCCGAGCUGCUCGGUGUCGGCCCUCUUUCUCUAACCUUUAAAGAAGCACUUUCAAUAAUCACCUCAAAUUUGAUAUUGAUUUGGAUUAUUAAAAGGGAAUAUCUCCAGGAAACAACCCGGAUCUGACCGGCUGCCUUUUGCUCAGACUAGAAAAGGAGGAGUUUUGGUGCUGGACGGAGACCUCUGACUUCCCUGACCGCAACACUUCCAGGUCAGGCGACCAAAAACAUGACAAGCACGUCGUCAACUCCUGUAUGCAACGAAUGUAUUGCAAAAUCUGCUGACAAAAUCCACUGUACUGACUUUUAUAGCUGUCAUUGCUAAUUAAUCUAGGUGAUUGUGAAUGCAAAUUUCUUUUUGAAAACAGCUUUUUUUUUUUUUUUUUACUGUUACUUCAUGACUGAAUGUGAUUGUAAAUGAGUUUGUAAUAUACACAUUAUCGAUUACACAAACUGAACAUCAAUUUAAAAAUCUUUAAAAUAGCAGCCCAGCUCAGUGUUGAAGCAGGACACUCCUGUUGAGAAGCCUGUGCGAUUUGUCUCCUCUAUCUGCAUGCUGUCAGGCUGCUGGCCUCAUCCUCCUCUGUUUGCGACCUCAGUGCUAAAUCAAGUUCAAAGAGGACCACUGGUGUUUGGCAGAUAGUUUUACAUGAGGGGCAGGGGCAGGACCAUUUGUUUAGUCAACCUCUGGCUCCCUCUUUGAUUCGCAGCUAUCUGUGACCCCGUGGCUGAGCGGCACCACUUAAGGCUCUUCAUUCAGACACAAUGCUCACUGAUAAAAUCAGCACCGGAACUCACUUUAUUUUCAGCCGCUGAUUUUCCAGCUAUAAUAUUUACUGAAUGUUCAAAUUUAGCAACUUUCAAAAAUAUUCAUACCCUUUGAUAAGUACAUCCAGACAUUUCAAUGUAUUUCAUUCUGACUCUGUAUUA